GGGGCAAGCGUUAUCCGGAUUUACUAGGUGUAAAGGGAGCGUAGACGGCAAUGCAAGCCAGAUGUGAAAACCCGCAGCUCAACUGGGGGAGUGCAUUUGGAACUGUGUAGCUGGAGUGCAGGAGAGGUAAGCGGAAUUCCUCGUGUAGCGGUGAAAUGCGUAGAUAUCAGGAGGAACACCAGUGGCGAAGGCGGCUUACUGGACUGUAACUGACGUUGAGGCUCGAAAGCGUGGGGAGCAAACAGGAUUAGAUACCCUGGUAGUCC
rnacentral:rRNA from 1 species